rnacentral:rRNA from 1 species
UACGGAGGGUGCGAGCGUUGUCCGGAAUCACUGGGCGUAAAGGGCGCGUAGGCGGCCACCGCAAGUCGACUGUGAAAUCUCCGGGCUUAACCCGGAAAGGUCAGCCGAUACUGCGGGGCUAGAGUGCAGAAGGGGCAACUGGAAUUCUCGGUGUAGCGGUGAAAUGCGUAGAUAUCAGAAGGAACACCAGUGGCGAAGGCGACUUCCUGGCCUGUUCUUGACGCUGAGGCGCGAAAGCUAGGGUAGCAAACGGG